rnacentral:ncRNA from 1 species
CUCUUAUCCAGAGAGGUCGAGGGACUGGCCCGAUGACACCCAGCAACCGGCGUAAUUACGCAGUGGUGCUAAUUCCAGCAGGAAUCAGUAGAAUUCCUGGGAGAUGAGAG